rnacentral:rRNA from 1 species
CAGGACGAAACGCUGGCGGCGCGCCCUAACACAUGCAAGUGGAACGAGCGAGAGAGAGCUUGCUUUCUCGAGCGAGUGGCGAACGGGUGAGUAACGCGUGAGGAACCCUGCCUCAAAGAGGGGGACAACAGUUGGAAACGACUGCUAAUACCGCAUAAGCCCACGGGUCGGCAUCGACCAGAGGGAAAAGGAGCAAUCCGCUUUGAGAUGGCCUCGCGUCUGAUUAGGCAGUUGGCGGGGUAACGGCCCACCAAACCGACGAUCAGUAGCCGGCCUGAGAGGUUGAACGGCCACAUUGGGACUGAGACACGGCCCAGACUCCUACGGGAGGCAGCAGUGGGGAAUAUUGCACAAUGGGGGAAACCCUGAUGCAGCGACGCCGCGUGGAGGAAGAAGGUCUUCGGAUUGUAAACUCCUGUUGUUGAGGAAGAUAAUGACGGUACUCAACAAGGAAGUGACGGCUAACUACGUGCCAGCAGCCGCGGUAAAACGUAGGUCACAAGCGUUGUCCGGAAUUACUGGGUGUAAAGGGAGCGCAGGCGGGAGAACAAGUUGGAAGUGAAAUCCAUGGGCUCAACCCAUGAACUGCUUUCAAAACUGUUUUUCUUGAGUAGUGCAGAGGUAGGCGGAAUUCCCGGUGUAGCGGUGGAAUGCGUAGAUAUCGGGAGGAACACCAGUGGCGAAGGCGGCCUACUGGGCACCAACUGACGCUGAGGCUCGAAAGUGUGGGUAGCAAACAGGAUUAGAUACCCUGGUAGUCCACACCGUAAACGAUGAUUACUAGGUGUUGGAGGAUUGACCCCUUCAGUGCCGCAGUUAACACAAUAAGUAAUCCACCUGGGGAGUACGACCGCAAGGUUGAAACUCAAAGGAAUUGACGGGGGCCCGCACAAGCAGUGGAGUAUGUGGUUUAAUUCGACGCAACGCGAAGAACCUUACCAAGUCUUGACAUCCCUUGACGAACAUAGAAAUAUGUUUUCUCUUCGGAGCAAGGAGACAGGUGGUGCAUGGUUGUCGUCAGCUCGUGUCGUGAGAUGUUGGGUUAAGUCCCGCAACGAGCGCAACCCUUAUGGUCAGUUACUACGCAAGAGGACUCUGGCCAGACUGCCGUUGACAAAACGGAGGAAGGUGGGGAUGACGUCAAAUCAUCAUGCCCUUUAUGACUUGGGCUACACACGUACUACAAUGGCGUUAAACAAAGAGAAGCAAGACCGCGAGGUGGAGCAAAACUCAGAAACAACGUCCCAGUUCGGACUGCAGGCUGCAACUCGCCUGCACGAAGUCGGAAUUGCUAGUAAUCGUGGAUCAGCAUGCCACGGUGAAUACGUUCCCGGGCCUUGCACUCACCGCCCGUCA